GGCUGGCGCGGGCGGGAUUGUCGCUAAUCCGGUCAGGGCCGAGAGGCAGCAGCCGCACCGAAUUUGUCCCGGGUCGUGUCCAGUCUUC
rnacentral:SRP_RNA from 1 species